rnacentral:rRNA from 1 species
CGUCGACCGGCGCACGGGUGAGUAACGCGUAUCCAACCUUCCCAUUACUGUGGGAUAACCUGCCGAAAGGCAGACUAAUACCGCAUAGUCUUCGAUGACGGCAUCAGAUUUGAAGUAAAGAUUUAUCGGUAAUGGAUGGGGAUGCGUCUGAUUAGCUUGUUGGCGGGGUAACGGCCCACCAAGGCGACGAUCAGUAGGGGUUAUGAGAGGAAGGUCCCCCACAUUGGAACUGAGACACGGUCCAAACUCCUACGGGAGGCAGCAGCC